rnacentral:rRNA from 1 species
UGGGGAAUUAUUGGACAAUGGGCGGAAGCCUGAUCCAGCAACGCCGCGUGAGGGAUGACGGCCUUCGGGUUGUAAACCUCUUUCAGUACCGACGAAGCGAAAGUGACGGUAGGUACAGAAGAAGGACCGGCCAACUACGUGCCAGCAGCCGCGGUAAUACGUAGGGUCCGAGCGUUGUUCCGGAAUUGAUUGGGCGUAAAUGGGCUCGUAGGCGGUUUGUCGCGUCGGGAGUGAAAACAGCGGGCUUAACUCAGUUGCUUGCUUUCGAUAACGGGCAGACUAGAGGUAUGCAGGGGGAGAAUGGAAUUCCUGGUGUAGCGGUGAAAAUGCGCAGAUAUCAGGAGGAACACCGGUGGCGAAGGCGGUUCUCUGGGCAUUACCUGACGCUGAGGAGCGAAAAGUGUGGGGGAAGCGAACAGGAUUAGAAUACCCUGUAGUCCACACCGUAAAACGUUGGGCGCUAGGUGUGGGGUCCUUUCCACGGAUUCCGUGCCGUAGCUAACGCAUU